UCGUUUCCUCGGCGGGUUCGCCCGCCGAUUGGACAAUUUAAACCAUUUGCAGUUGCAAUCAGCGUCUGAAAAAACAUAAUAGUUACAACUUUCAACAACGGAUCUCUUGGUUCUGGCAUCGAUGAAGAACGCAGCGAAAUGCGAUAAGUAGUGUGAAUUGCAGAAUUCAGUGAAUCAUCGAAUCUUUGAACGCACAUUGCGCCCCUUGGUAUUCCAUGGGGCAUGCCUGUUCGAGCGUCAUUUGUACCUUCAAGCUCUGCUUGGUGUUGGGUGUUUGUCUCGCCUCUGCGCGUAGACUCGCCUCAAAACAAUUGGCAGCCGGCGUAUUGAUUUCGGAGCGCAGUACAUCUCGCGCUUUGCAUUCAGAACGACGACGUCCAAAAGUACAUUUUUACACUCUUGACCUCG
rnacentral:rRNA from 1 species